rnacentral:rRNA from 1 species
GAUGAACGCUGGCGGCGUGCCUAAUACAUGCAAGUCGAGCGAACAGAUGAGGAGCUUGCUCCUCUGACGUUAGCGGCGGACGGGUGAGUUACACGUGGAUAACCUACCUAUAAGACUGGGAUAACUUCGGGAAACCGGAGCUAAUACCGGAUAAUAUAUUGAACCGCAUGGUUCAAUAGUGAAAGACGGUUUUGCUGUCACUUAUAGAUGGAUCCGCGCCGCAUUAGCUAGUUGGUAAGGUAACGGCUUACCAAGGCAACGAUGCGUAGCCGACCUGAGAGGGUGAUCGGCCACACUGGAACUGAGACACGGUCCAGACUCCUACGGGAGGCAGCAGUAGGGAAUCUUCCGCAAUGGGCGAAAGCCUGACGGAGCAACGCCGCGUGAGUGAUGAAGGUCUUCGGAUCGUAAAACUCUGUUAUUGGGGAAGAACAAAUGUGUAAGUAACUAUGCACGUCUUGACGGUACCUAAUCAGAAAGCCACGGCUAACUACGUG